UGGGUCUUAACACCACGUCGCCAUUCUUAUUGAUUCUUAACACCACGUCGCCAUUCCCCAACGGCUAAUGGGCUGUCAAGUCUGCCUUCUACUAUUUUCAAAUGUUUAUCAUUGAUUGCAUUGCAUGCCACCUCUUUUCGGACAAAAAUCUUGUGCUAAAUAAAUCUAUCUACGGUCUCAAGCCCAAACCCAAACCCAUUUUAGUUCCUA
rnacentral:misc_RNA from 1 species